AUGGAGCAAGCCUUCUGGUCAACAGCAGCAUGUGCCCUCUCUCUGCUACUCUAUGCCCUAGCGCUCAUGGUUCUCAUUAGGAAGCGCCAUUCUCACCUUCCUCCUGGCCCAAAGGGCCUCCCCAUGGUUGGGAGCCUCCACAGGCUAGGCAGCAGGGCACACGAGGCCCUUGCUGCACUUGCGGAGACCCAUGGCUCCCUCAUGACCUUGCAGCUUGGAUUUGUGACAACAAUUGUUGUUUCAUCAUCUGAGAUGGCCAAGGAGGUGUUACAGAAGAACAACCUUGCCUUUUCGGGGUGCACAGUCAUCGAAGUAAUGAAGAUUAAGUCUCACCAUAAUGGGUCCCUAGUGUGGGCUCAAAUUGGUCCUCGUUGGCAAGCCCUCCGCCGUCUCUGCAACACCCAACUCUUCACUCCCCAGCGGCUAGACACUUUGCGGGCUCUUCGCUACCAGAAGGUCCAUGAGAUGGUCGAGCUCAUACGACAGACUAAGCAGGUAGUUGACAUAGGGCGUGUUGCCUUCGUCAUAGCCCUGAAUUUAGUGUCGAACAUGAUCUUUUCGACUGAAAUGGUUAACCCCAAAUCAGGGUUAGCAUAGGAGUUCAAGGAUGUCGUUUGGUCGAUCAUGGAAGUAUCUGGUGCACCCAACCUUGCAGACUAUUUCCCGAUGCUCAGGGGCCUAGACCCCCAGGGCCUCAAGGGGCGUAGCAACAAACUCUUUGAAAGGUUCCACCAGCUUCUCAAUGUGAUGAUUGACGAACGUAUACAAUCCAGAGAGAAAGGUGGAGUGCCCAAGGGUGACUUCAUCGACGUUAUUCUUGACUCUAAACAGGAGAACGGUGUGGAGUUUAAGCUGGGAACCGAUACUAGCUCCACUAGUGUAGAGUGGGCAAUGGCUGAGCUCCUUCGCAACCCUGACAAGAUGGCCAUGGCUAAGAUGGAGCUCUCAAGGACUCUCGGUGGUCCACAACACAUUGUGGAAGAAUCGGACAUAUCUCGACUCCCUUACUUACAAGCUGUGGUGAAGAAGACAUGGCGGCUCCAUGCCCCCGUACCGCUUCUCAUCCCCCAUAGGGCUGAUACGACUGUAAAUGUGGCCGGAUACAUAGUGCCGAAAAAUGCACAAGUGCUGAUCAACUAUUGGGCCAUUGGAAGAGACCCUAAAGUGUGGGGCAAUCCGACAACCUUCUUGCCGAAAAGAUUCUUGGGUUCUAACGUGGAUUACAGGGGCAAGGAUUUCCAAUUUAUUCCGUUUGGGGCGGGGCGGAGGACAUGCCCUGGCCUUCCUUUUGGGGUUCACAUGGUCCACGUGAUGCUUACGUCUUUGUUGCAUUAUUUCGAUUGGGAGCUUCCUGAUGGAUUGAAAGCAGAGGAGAUGGAUAUGAGGGAUAAGUUUGGGGUCACCUUGCAAAAAUUGGUUCCACUUCGAUUGAUCCCUCGUCAAGGCUCGUGA